UACGUAGGGCGCAAGCGUUAUCCGGAAUUAUUGGGCGUAAAGAGCUUGUAGGUGGUUUGUCGCGUCUGCUGUGAAAAUCCGAGGCUCAACCUCGGACUUGCAGUGGGUACGGGCAGACUAGAGUGUGGUAGGGGAGACUGGAAUUCCUGGUGUAGCGGUGGGAAUGCGCAGAUAUCAGGGAGGAACACCGCGGCGAAGGCGGCGCUCUGGGCCGGUAACUGACACUGGAGGAGCGAAAGCGUGGGUAGCAAACAGG
rnacentral:rRNA from 1 species